CCUACGGGUGGCAGCAGUGAGGGAUAUUGGUCAAUGGGGGAAACCCUGAACCAGCAACGCCGCGUGAGGGAAGACGGUUUUCGGAUUGUAAACCUCUGUCCUCUGUGAAGAUAAUGACGGUAGCAGAGGAGGAAGCUCCGGCUAACUACGUGCCAGCAGCCGCGGUAAUACGUAGGGAGCAAGCGUUGUCCGGAUUUAUUGGGUUUAAGGGGUGCGUAGGCGGAGCGUUAAGUCAGUGGUCAAAUUGAGGGGCUCAACCCCUUCCCGCCAUUGAAACUGGCGCUCUUGAGUGGAAGAGAAGUAUGCGGAAUGCGUGGUGUAGCGGUGAAAUGCAUAGAUAUCACGCAGAACCCCGAUUGCGAAGGCAGCAUGCCGGCUUCCGACUGACGCUGAAGCACGAAAGCGUGGGGAUCGAACAGGAUUAGAUACCCUUGUAGUC
rnacentral:rRNA from 1 species